UUUUCUGAGAGAUUUACAUCAGACGAAGCCCGGUGUUGUUUCGAGCCGUUUGUUCCUGCUUCAGCGGCCUUCAGUCAGCGCGCGGUCAUAGCAUCCAGAGAGAUUUAUAUCAGAAGAAAUCUCCAAACACUGCAGCUGAUUCUGAUUCACCAGAGACAGCCUUGGAGGAGAAAUGGUGUGUCUUCAUUUGUUAAUACAGGUCAGAUAGCAAAUGUUGCCAUUCUUCUGGAAAACUGCUGGUCUUUAAAGAACAGUCAUCAAUCAGGUAACUUGAACACAGUUUUUGAAUACCAUUCUAUUACUAAAGUUAUCUUUUAUUCAGUUACUAAAUCACUUUGACUAGCUUUGUUUUUGUUUUGUUUUUCAAUUAUUAAUGAAGUUUAUUUUAACAAAGUUUAGGAGAAAUAUUUUCAGAAAAUCCAAGCAAUUUGCAUCAGAGGAAGUCUAUAUAUCGCCGCUUUUUUCACCUCCAUUCCCAGACGACAGCAGGCCAAAUAUGCUUAUUCUGUCUAUUAUAAAUACAUAUGUGACCUUGUGAAUUGCUGUAUAGUUCAGCUAACAAAAUAACCAACUGUUUUCAUAGAUUUGUAUUAUCAAGUUAUGUUUCAUCAUUCUAACUUGUUUAAAUAAUGAAGACUGUACAAUGUAUUUAUAGAAAGUGCUUUUUAUAUAUUUUUACAGGAUCCUCUGUUCCCAGACCCAACCAUUCAUCUGAAGGACUGUGAAAAUAUGGACCCUUUGAACCACCGUUGACAGUUUCCACAUGAUAAAUAGAAAGGACAUGGCAGAGGAUGAUAGGGGUAUUGAUAUUUCACUGAAAUUAAAUAUCAUUUAAUUACAUUUAGUCUGCUAGUCAGAAUUAUAGCUGAUUAAAUAAAAAUAAAUAGUGGUUCA
ensembl:lncRNA